AAUGUUUUUCGUUUGUUGGAUUUCAUUGUUGUGCAUGGGUGGAGAGGGGGGAGGCGGGCGGGCAGUGGGUGGGAGGCACAGAGUCACGAGGACUUUAGAGCGGGUGUCAUUUUGGGGGGAGUAGGAACAGAGAUAAACAGGGUUCUGAUGAUGAUGAUGAUGGACGCACAUGGACAGUUCCUGAUGUCCUUUUAGUGGGCUGGUGAGAGAGGACUGUACGUUUGCUUUAAAGGAAUACUUCACCCACAAAUUACUCCCCCCGUGUUACAUUGAAUUCUUGAAGAAAACUUUGUUUUUCUCAUAUGCGGGGAGGAAUUGCAGCCUGGUCGCAUGAAAAGGAUUAUUAAUGACAUGAUAUUGCGCAAGGCAAAAAACGUGCAAUAAGAAUGCCGUUCUUGCUUUUGGUGUGUCAUUUGUACAGCAUGUACUCCUGUACUGACUGCAAUGUAAAUGCAUCUGCGUAAAUAUGCUAUGCUCAGAGCUUGUGACGUAGAAUAAAAAGUGAGAAAGACCGCUUAUGGCGGGCGGAAGGGGAGGUGGAUGGGUCCAACAAACACACACGUUUUUUAUUAUGUAAGUUAUGUUUGUGACGUGUUUUCCUAUGUGUUGUACUUCAUUUUCUGUAAUUAUUUUAAACCCAACCAUGAUAUUUUCCUAAACCUAAGUGAGUGGUUUUGUUGCCUAAACCUAACUGCGGACGUCACCAUAGUUUUGUUGCGUGGCGUACAAAUGACACGCAAAAAGGCUAAAAUGCGUCCUCAUGACAUGACCUUGUAAUGUCGGGCUAUUUAUACGCCUUCCUGUGAGAUCGAGUUGGAUAAACAAAUGGUCAUUUUCGGGGUGAAGUAUUCCUUUAAGGUGCUACAUGACCUACUUCAGCAUCAGCAAAAUUAAUUUCAUGUUCAUUUAAAGAUACUGGUAGAAUUAUCAUCUCUGCUGAAAGGAGUUGCUGUUCCGUCCACAGACACAACAGAAGCUUUUGGAACUUAUACCAGAUGGGAAAAUACCUUUCCAACAUGUUAACGCACUUGAUUUUAUGUGAUUAAAGUCACUUUUAAAAGGUUGUGAGGGCAAAAACAGUGGUGAGUGUCUCUGGUUGGAUUCAAAGUGCAGGCAGGUGUUUAUGUUUUUUGUCUGUCAGUAUUUUUCUUCAGCUCUCGCUGCAGCUGAUUAAAUAUGUUUUGAAUUUACAUUGUUUGAGAGUCAGUACAUCUUGUGUGUUUGUUACGAUUGGGCUCAUAAACUUCAGAUUAAAAUAUUCUUAUUGGUAUGUGUGUGUGUGUGUGUGAGAGAGAGAGUUAAUAUUAGCCUGUACGUGCUCCUCUCUCCGUUUGUGUGUUUACAUACUUAUUUGUGAUUUGUUUGUGUUUACUGACUGUCUCUUUUCUCUGAGUAUAUACAGCAUGUGUCUACAUUUGUGUUUGCAUUCAAGAGUGUCAGGUUUGUGUGCAUGUCUGUGUUUGUAUGGAGUGCCGAGGAAUAAGGAGACAAGGAGGACUGGUCAUUAGUUGACUUUCAACCAGGAGACCGAUGUUCAUGUCCUGUGUGAAACUAAAAGUAACGUUGACUUAUUUUGUCACGUCAGUCGUUAGUCACUAAAGUUAACAUCAACCAAAGAACGUAUAUUGCCAUGAAGUGAAAAUCUAUUGUUCACUGAAACAUCAGCGCCCAUCCGCAAAGCUAUGCUUCCGUCAUUUUGGAUUGAAAGCAACUAACGGAUGCCAGUAAAACGUCCGCCU